rnacentral:rRNA from 1 species
CCUACGGGCGGCAGCAGUGGGGAAUAUUGCUCAAUGGGGGAAACCCUGAAGCAGCAAAGUAGCGUGAGUGAAGAAGUAUUUCGGUAUGUAAAGCUCUAUCAGCAGGGAAGAAGAAAGACGGUAGCUGACUAAGAAGCCCCGGCUAACUACGUGCCAGCAGCCGCGGUAAUACGUAGGGGGCAAGCGUUAUCCGGAUUUACUGGGUGUAACGGGAGCGUAGACGGCUGUGCAAGUCUGAAGUGAAAGCCCGUGGCUCAACCGCGGAACUGCGUUUGAAACUGUAUAGCUUGAGUACUGGAGAGGCAGGCGGAAUUCCUGGUGUAGCGGUGAAAUGCGUAGAUAUUAGGAGGAACACCAGUUGCGAAGGCGGCCUGCUGGACAGAAACUGACGUUGAGGCUCGAAAGCGUGGGGAGCAAACAGGAUUAGAUACCCCAGUAGUC